GAAACUUAUUGGUUUUUAUUCAAGUCCUGCUAAGUCUCAGAAUCUGUAGUUCAAUUCUAUAGAAGUUUCG
rnacentral:tRNA from 1 species